GCUAGGGUGGCUCAGUGAUUGAGCGUCGAACUAAAAAUGAGGAGGUCUAGGUUCGAUUCCUGGUCAAGGCA
rfam:Myotis brandtii contig293395, whole genome shotgun sequence.